UACGAAGGGGGCUAGCGUUGCUCGGAAUCACUGGGCGUAAAGCGCACGUAGGCGGAUUGCUAAGUCAGGGGUGAAAUCCUGGAGCUCAACUCCAGAACUGCCUUUGAUACUGGCAACCUUGAGUCCGGGAGAGGUGAGUGGAACUGCGAGUGUAGAGGUGAAAUUCGUAGAUAUCUGGAGGAACACCGGUGGCGAAGGCGGCAUCCUGGACCGGCAUUGACGCUGAGGCGCGAAAGCCAGGGGAGCAAACGGG
rnacentral:rRNA from 1 species